AGCGAGYUCGUGCGGCGUCGACGAAGCUUCUCGGUAGCCGUUCAACUGUUCGGUUGUCCCCGCUGCCUUUUGUACGUGUUUUCAUGCCUAGCGGUGCGGCUCGGCUCCUACCCGGCGUAUUUGCACUCAAGACGCAUCCCUUUAUUGGGCCGGUCGAGACGUGUUUUUCGUUGGGCGGUGCUGGGUUUAGCUAACGUGACGGCGUAUGAGUGGUAAUUGGGUUGUAUUCGACGGCAGGCUCCGUGCUUCGGCAUCGAACUGUCGGCUCGUACCCCGCUUCGUCGGCGCGCCAGGAUUUUUCUUGUGCGCAGGAUGGGUUUCUGUUCUGGCUGCCUAUUACGAAAGGAAUGUUGCCUCUCGUCGUCCCUUUCCUCCUCCUGCUGGCCUUGCCGGUGGGAGGACGACGUCGUAGCGGUGCUCGUGUCCCGGACGAGCCACACUGGUUGUGGUGCAGUUUCGGUCCUCGAGUUUUCGCUCGACAUCUCGGAUGCGGAACACUGAUACGGGGCGGUGGGUCGUCACGGCCUCCGAUCGUCCAAUCGAAGCCUUGUCGCUUGAUGCGUGCGACUGUCGUGCCCGUUGCGAGCCGUCGACCGUCAAGGUCGUACGUCUCGCGCGGCGUCGGCGUCGAAGAGGAACGC
rnacentral:misc_RNA from 1 species